rnacentral:rRNA from 1 species
GUGAGGAAUAUUGCGCAAUGGAGGCAACUCUGACGCAGCCAUGCCGCGUGCAGGAAGAAGGCGCUACGCGUUGUAAACUGCUUUUAACCGGGAAGAAACCCCAGGACGUGUCCUGGGUUGACGGUACCGGAGGAAUAAGCACCGGCUAACUUCGUGCCAGCAGCCGCGGUAAUACGAAGGGUGCAAGCGUUAUCCGGAUUCAUUGGGCUUAAAGGGUGCGUAGGCGGAGCGUUAAGUCAGUGGUGAAAUCCUGCAGCUUAACUGUAGACUUGCCAGUGAUACUGGCGCUCUUGAGUGCGCUUGAAGUGGGCGGAAUGUGCCGUGUAGCGGUGAAAUGCUUAGAUAUGGCACAGAACACCAAGUGCGAAGGCAGCUCACUAAGGCGAUACUGACGCUGAGGCACGAAAGCGUGGGGAUCGAACAGGAUUAGAAACCCCGGUAGUCC